CUGAUUGCUCUCACGGGACUUGCAAUACUGCAUUGAAUACACGUGACAACGAUAGGCACCUUGUCUUGUUCCUGAUCUUAGAGAAAAGGCUUCAGCCUCUCGCCACUGAGUGUGAUGCUGUCUGUGGGUUUGUCACAUGUGGCCCUUCUUAUGUCGAGAAUAUCUUUUCCCCAGCUUUUCGCCUUCAGCCUACUGAGAGGUGGUGUACAAUGCUGCAGCUCCUUUGACUUCAACUGGAAGAAAUCGGAGGCACACAGUUUUGUACAGUUUUCUAGUAGUUUCUUGUAGAGUUAAACUCCAGUUACCUAGCGUUGACUCACCUGAUAUAUACCACUCACUGACUGCUUUCCCUUCCCUCAUCUUUUUCCCUUUUCCUAUAUAAGUGUUUCUUGCACUUUAAAAAUAAACUGCUUUGACA